CAAUAGCGUAUAUUAAAGUUGUUGCAGUUAAAAAGCUCGUAGUUGGAUUUCGGGGCAGCCUGGCUGGUCCGCCGCAAGGCGAGUACUGGUCAGCCGCCCUUCCUCUCGAAAGCCCCGACUGCUCUUUAUUGCAGUGGUCGGGUAGUUCGGGACGUUUACUUUGAAAAAAUUAGAGUGUUCAAGGCAGGCCUACGCCUGAAUACAUUAGCAUGGAAUAAUGGAAGAGGACCUCGGUCCUAUUUUGUUGGUUUCCAGGACCGAAGUAAUGAUUAAGAGGGACAGUUGGGGGCAUUCGUAUUUAAUUGUCAGAGGUAAAAUUCUCGGAUUUAUGAAAGACGAACAACUGCGAAAGCAUUUGCCAAGGAUGUUUUCAUUAA
rnacentral:rRNA from 1 species